CAGAGGGGGCAAGCGUUGCUCGGAAUCACUGGGCGUAAAGGGCGCGUAGGCGGGAUGGCAAGUCGGUCGUGAAAUCCUUCGGCUCAACCGAAGAACGUCGGCCGAUACUGCCGUUCUUGAGGGAUGCAGAGGAGAUUGGAAUUCCCGGUGUAGCGGUGAAAUGUGUAGAGAUCGGGAGGAACACCGGUGGCGAAGGCGGGUCGCUGGGCAUCUCCUGACGCUGAGGCGCGAAAGCGUGGGGAGCAAACGGGAUUAGAUACCCCGGUAGUCCACGCUGUAAACGAUGACGACUAGGUGUGGGGGGGGUUAGUCCGUUUCCGUGCCGCAGCUAACGCAUUAAGUCGUCCGCCUGGGGAGUACGGCCGCAAGGUUG
rnacentral:rRNA from 1 species